rnacentral:rRNA from 1 species
AUACAGAGGGUGCGAGCGUUAAUCGGAAUUACUGGGCGUAAAGCGUGUGUAGGUGGUUGUAUAAGUUAGAUGUGAAAGCCCCGGGCUUAACCUGGGAAUUGCGUUUAAGACUGUAUGACUAGAGUACUGUAGAGGAUAGUGGAAUUUCCAGUGUAGCGGUGAAAUGCGUAGAUAUUGGAAGGAACACCAGUGGCGAAGGCGACCACCUGGGCUCAUACUGACACUGAGGUGCGAAAGCGUGGGGAGC